UACGGGGGGGGUAAGCGUUGUUCGGAUUUACUGGGCGUAAAGCGCACGUAGGCGGAUCGUUAAGUCAGGGGUGAAAUCCUGGAGCUCAACUCCAGAACUGCCUUUGAUACUGGCGAUCUUGAGUCCGGAAGAGGUGAGUGGAACUCCUAGUGUAGAGGUGGAAUUCGUAGAUAUUAGGAAGAACACCAGUGGCGAAGGCGGCUCACUGGUCCGGUACUGACGCUGAGGUGCGAAAGCGUGGGGAGCAAACAGG
rnacentral:rRNA from 1 species